rnacentral:rRNA from 1 species
GAUGAACGCGGCGGGGGGGCUAACAAAAGGAAGUCGAACGGAGAAGGCCAGGUUGGCGGGUGGGAUUGGUGGGAAACGGGGGGUUAACCGGGGAGAAACUUGCCCUUAACCCGGGAAUAAGCCGGGGAAACGGGGUUAAUAACGGGUAGGAGCGGUCACCGGCAGGGGGGGGGUGGGAAGAUUUAUCGGUUUUGGAUGGACUCGCGGCCUAUCAGCUUGUUGGUGAGGUAAUGGCUCACCAAGGCGACGACGGGUAGCCGGCCUGAGAGGGUGACCGGCCACACUGGGACUGAGACACGGCCCAGACUCCUACGGGAGGCAGCAGUGGGGAAUAUUGCACAAUGGGCGCAAGCCUGAUGCAGCGACGCCGCGUGAGGGAUGACGGCCUUCGGGUUGUAAACCUCUUUCAGUAGGGAAGAAGCGAAAGUGACGGUACCUGCAGAAGAAGCACCGGCUAACUACGUG